GGCAAGUGUGAGUGAGGGGACCAGGCCCUGGUUUCUGAGCCCCUGUGGUGUGCUCAGUCCCUAUGAGGUUAUACGUGAGGUAAGAAUAGUGGACCCCAGCGUGGAACCUGUUUCCGUGUCUCUUUUUCUCCCUCUAAGGCAGCACAGGCAGCUCAGCUGUGCCUUCCCAAGCAGGUGAGGCUGGCUGAGCCCUCUGGGUUUCUCCAUCCUUGCCUGUAAGUAGGGCUGAAAAAUAGCUUUUUCGCCCAGGUGCUAGGAAACGAGAUGCUGUGUAUAAAGUGACUGGCGGCUGCCUGGCCUGGUGGUAAAGCUCCUGGAAAUGGGUGACUGCAUGAGUCCAGGCUCACACUGCUCUAAAGAACUACUGGAGAAUGGGUCAUUUAUGAAGAAAGAGGUUUAAUUGGCUCACAGUUCCACAGGCUGUGUAGGAAGCGUGGCUGGGAGUCCUCAGGAAACUCACGAUCAUGGUGGAAGGGGAAGGGGAAGCAGGCACGCCUUCACAUGGCAGCCGGAGAGAGAGCGAGCGAGCACGAGGCCGGAGGCGCCAUGUACUUUAAAACCAUCAGAUCUCGCGAGAACUCACUGUUGUGAGAACAGCAAGGCGGAAACCGCCCUGAGAUCAGUCACCUCCCACCAGGCCCCUCCCCCAACCGUGGGAAUGACAAUUCAACACGAGAUGGGGGCGACACAGACCCGACCGUGGGACUGACAAUUCAACACGAGAUGGGGCGACACAGACCCGACCGUGGGAAUGACAAUUCAACACGAGGUGGGGCGACACAGACCCGACCGUGGGAAUGACAAUGCAACACGAGGUGGGGGCGACACAGACCCGACCGUGGGAAUGACAAUUCAACACGAGAUGGGGCGACACAGACCCGACCGUGGGACUGACAAUUCAACACGAGGUGGGGGCGACACAGACCCGACCGUGGGACUGACAAUUCAACACGAGGUGGGGGCGACACAGACCCAGACCACAUCAGUGGCUUUCAGGAGAUCGAGCACAGGGGCCAUGGCGGGUGCCGCUAGAGUGCUGUGCUGUGCCGCGUGCCCUCAGAGCUUGGGGACCUUCCACUGAGCUGUGUGAGUCUCCGUCCUGGGCUCUGUGGGGACUAGGAUGAUAAUAAGAUGAGGAUCAGUGGCUUCCAGGAGCCCCAGUCUUAGAGGUGGAGCCAAAGAGCUGGGGGGGGG
rnacentral:lncRNA from 1 species